rnacentral:misc_RNA from 1 species
UUUCCGUAGGUGAACCUGCGGAAGGAUCAUUAUUGUAUAACAGAGGUGCGAGGACUAUCGCUAACUCGAAAGUUCGUACACGCCCGAGUGGGCUGACACACAGCCAUCUCACGCCGAUGGGAACCACCGCGUGGGUCCGCCGGUGGCAUGUUAGGAGGUGGUCUUUCGUUUUCACACGAGCUUUGUAUGCAAUGUAGAACGUAUUUUUUGUUUUUGCGAUCAUGCAACCAAUACAACUGUCAAAAACCGAUCACUUGGCGCUCGCACCGAUGAAGAACC